rnacentral:rRNA from 1 species
AUUGAACGCUGGCGGCAGGCCUAACACAUGCAAGUCGAGCGGAUGAAGGGAGCUUGCUCCUGGAUUCAGCGGCGGACGGGUGAGUAAUGCCUAGGAAUCUGCCUGGUAGUGGGGGAUAACGUCCGGAAACGGGCGCUAAUACCGCAUACGUCCUGAGGGAGAAAGUGGGGGAUCUUCGGACCUCACGCUAUCAGAUGAGCCUAGGUCGGAUUAGCUAGUUGGUGGGGUAAAGGCCUACCAAGGCGACGAUCCGUAACUGGUCUGAGAGGAUGAUCAGUCACACUGGAACUGAGACACGGCCCAGACUCCUACGGGAGGCAGCAGUGGGGAAUAUUGGACAAUGGGCGAAAGCUUGAUCCAGCAAUGCCGCGUGUGUGAAGAAGGUCUUCGGAUUGUAAAGCUCUUUAAGUGGGGAGGAAGGACAGUAAGUUAAUACCUGCCUGUUUUGACGUUACCAACAGAAUAAGCACCGGCUAACUUCGUG